rnacentral:lncRNA from 1 species
AAAAAAAGUUUGAUCAAAUUAUUUCUUUAUCUUAUCAAUAGAAAAGAUCUAAAAUUUUAAAUUAUAAUUGAAGUCAAAGAUUAACUUUCGAUUCUCAUUCAUACUUUUACUGGUGUACAAUAAUCUUGAUUAACCCUUGAGUCCAAUAUCAUAUUUAAAACCAUCAUAUAGAUUUACUAUAAUCAAUAUGAAUCAAAUCUUAAUUCUCAUAUCAAUUCAAUUCGAUAAUUUUCAAACCAAAAAUCUUUAUAAGUCAAAUCAAUGA